rnacentral:rRNA from 1 species
AUUGAACGCUGGCGGCAUGCCUUACACAUGCAAGUCGAACGGUAACGCGGGGCAACCUGGCGACGAGUGGCGAACGGGUGAGUAAUGCAUCGGAACGUGCCCAGUAGUGGGGGAUAGCCCGGCGAAAGCCGGAUUAAUACCGCAUACGACCUACGGGUGAAAGCGGGGGACCGUAAGGCCUCGCGCUAUUGGAGCGGCCGAUGUCAGAUUAGGUAGUUGGUGGGGUAAAGGCCUACCAAGCCUUCGAUCUGUAGCUGGUCUGAGAGGACGACCAGCCACACUGGGACUGAGACACGGCCCAGACUCCUACGGGAGGCAGCAGUGGGGAAUUUUGGACAAUGGGCGCAAGCCUGAUCCAGCCAUGCCGCGUGCGGGAAGAAGGCCUCGGUUGUAACCG